ensembl:lncRNA
UCCUUCCUUUCUCCUCCUCCGUCUUCCAGCACUUCUCAGUGAAGUUACUGUAGUUUAGUUAGGAGCUGCUCCUCCUCCUCUUCCUCCUCCCCCUGCGUGUCCGCGUCCUCCUCCAUCUCCUGCUACCAUCAGCUCAUCUGUCAUUUUCAUUCUCUCCUUCCAGGAAGCUUUCCUAGAUAAGUCCCUUGUGUCUCCUUGUUCACCCUGAGGGAGUCACGUCCUCUUAUGUGUGGAGAUGUUUGUUAGCCUGUAAACACAGCAACCAUGACCAAAGGAACAGCAACACGGGACCAACCGGAGACCGGAGUCGGUCAUGAGUGACAUGUUAGUGUCGUUGGGUCCUUUCUUACUCAGACUCAUGAAGACUCAGAGGGAGAAGAAUGUGAGACUGCACCUCUGCUUCCUGGUCUGAACUCUGGGUCGUCAUGGAAACGUUCCGCUGAGAAACUGGGUCCGAGUCCUCCAUCCAAAGUGGGUGGAUGCCGUCACAUUGUUUACUGGACACCACCCCAACUUCUGCUUCCGCUGCAUGUAAGCAUACAACACAAAGCAUGUGGACACCUAAACAUGUGCCUGGGAGUACUACGAGCCUGAAGUACUACGAGCCUGAAGUACUACGAGCAUAAAGUACUACGAGCAUAAAAUACUACGAGCAUAAAGUACUACGAGCCUGAAGUACUACGAGCCUGAAGUACUACGAGCAUAAAGAACUAGGAGCCUGAAGUACCACUUAAAGCGUAACGCAGCAUUGAAGCAGCCCACUAGCUACACACGCUUGCGUGCUGGAGAACUGUGGAAAAAACCAACACAAGGAGAAAGAAGCGUCCUCAAGGCGGCGACAUGCUUCUGCAACGUUUGGACUCGUCUCACUUCCUGGUUGUAAAGUCCUGCGUGUGUUGCAGAGCGAUUCACCUCCAGAACAACAGGUGGAGUCACGUGUUUUGUAGAAGACGACCUGGAGAGUCACGUCUUUGUGUGUGGAAGUCGCUGGUUGCUUUAUUUAUGUAUCAUAGACUUUAUUGCCCCGUGCAUCCACACUGCUGCUUUCCAUCACGGACACAUUUGUCCUGUAUUUUCCUCCACGACUUUGUCCCCCUCGUUGGUGGAGAUCUGCCUCCAUGAAUCAGAGGCCGUCCGGCGUCCUCAUAGUCCGCCAAUGACGGCUUGUACAAGCGCUCAUAUUUAAAAGCUCUUCAAUCUGAUCCGUUCUCUCGUAAACAGGUGUGAAAAGACACGCAAGGGACAACAAUUAUUGAUUAGUUAUACAAGAUAAUAUGAUACAUUACAUACAUUAUGAUAUAAUUUGUAAUACAAUAAUAUAACAUUAUUUGAUAAUAAAAUCAAAUGUGAUCAAAUAUAACAUUAUCAUUUAAUAUACAUAUUAUAAUAUGAUGUAAUAUAUAUAAUCUAAGCUUAGUGUUUUUUUCAUAUGAAGAAUCUGCUGCAAUAGAAAGAGACGCACACACAGACACACUCAGCUGCUACAGAAAUACUCAUAUGUAUGUCAGCUGGCAUCCAUUCAUAAGUCCACACACACACAGACACACACACAGACACACACACAUGGCAGGCAGAGAUAAGAAACAUCUUGAGUAUCUGGAAGCUUCCACUCCCUCAGCACACCCUCUGUAACAGCCGAGUGUGUCUGUGUCUUCAUGAAAGUCUCUAAAACGCAGUUGGCGUUUAUAUAUGUUUGAAUGGGGGGGGGGCUGUAUGAGGGAGG